rfam:Sorghum bicolor cultivar BTx623 chromosome 1, whole genome shotgun sequence.
GUAAUCGGAUUCGCAUCAAUCCACAUGUAUUGUUGUGGGUUGAAGUGGAACUUGAACUAAAUUCCACCACAAUCCACUCCAACACAUGUGGAUUGAGGUAAAUACGACA